GCCUGGAUGGCUCAGUUGGUAGAACAUGUGACUUUGGAUUUCAGGGUCAUGAGUUCAAGCUUCACUUUGGGCA
rnacentral:tRNA from 1 species